GACGAACGCUAGCGGCGUGCUUAACACAUGCAAGUCGAACGGUGAUGACAGGGCUUGCCUUGCCGGAUCAGUGGCGAACGGGUGAGUAACACGUGAGUAACCUGCCCCAGACUCUGGGAUAACCCCGGGAAACCGGAGCUAAUACCGGCUAUGACCCUUGUACGCAUGUGCUGGGGGUGGAAAGUUUUUCGGUCUGGGAUGGGCUCGCGGCCUAUCAGCUUGUUGGUGAGGUAGUGGCUCACCAAGGCGACGACGGGUAGCCGGCCUGAGAGGGCGACCGGCCACACUGGGACUGAGACACGGCCCAGACUCCUACGGGAGGCAGCAGUGGGGAAUAUUGCACAAUGGGCGAAAGCCUGAUGCAGCGACGCCGCGUGAGGGAUGACGGCCUUCGGGUUGUAAACCUCUUUCAGCAGGGAAGAAGCGGAAGUGACGGUACCUGCAGAAGAAGCACCGGCUAACUACGUGCCAGCAGCCGCGGUAACAC
rnacentral:rRNA from 1 species